UUGAUUUAAUUUUCUAAUCAAAUUAGAAAUUAGAUUGACCCAAGUCCUAGUUGAACUAGGACUAGUUUUUCCUUGCACUUGGCUUAUCCAAUAAACCAAUUAGACUUGAUCCAAUCAAGCCCAAACUAAAUCUAAUUAAAUUAUAUUUAAUUAGACUUAAUCUCAGCCUAUUGGUUUAAUUAAAUUAAGUCAAUUAGCAAUCAAAUUGCUAAUCGAUCCUCCUGCAACACUUGCACUGGAUUAAAUGUCAAUCGUAUUGAUCAUUUAACCCUAGAACGAUUCUUAAUCGUUGAUCAACCAUCCGAUCGGAUCAUGAACUCUAAUGUGUGUGACCUCAUAGGUU
rnacentral:lncRNA from 1 species